AAUAUCAGAGCUGCUUCCCUACUCUGUCUUUGUUCACUAAAAUUCUUAGCCUAUAGGAAUGUCAGUAAUCCUUCAAUAAAAUACAUUCACGUCCUAAUGUUUCACUGACAUUCUAAUCUCGACUUUUGACAAGAAAUGGUAUCAAGUACAGGAGGAAACGAGAUUUCAUUGGUAAAAUCGUUUGUUAUAUUUGAGUAAAUUAUUC